rnacentral:rRNA from 1 species
GUGCCAGCAGCCGCGGUAAGACAGAGGUGCCGAGCGUUAGGCGGAAUCACUGGGCUUAAAGCGUGUGUAGGCGGAGUUCUAAGUACCUUGUGAAAUCCCACGGCUCAACCGUGGAACUGCUUGGUAUACUGGUUCUCUUGGGUCGUCUAGGGGCGAGCGGAACAAACGGUGGAGCGGUGAAAUGCGUAGAUAUCGUUUGGAACGCCAAUGGUGAAAACAGCUCGCUGGGGACGUACCGACGCUGAGACACGAAAGCCAGGGGAGCGAACGGGAUUAGAUACCCGUGUAGUCC